GAUGAACGCUGGCGGCGUGCCUAACACAUGCAAGUCGAACGGACUUAUUUUGGAAACUCUUUCGGGAGCGGAAUUCAUAAGUUAGUGGCGGACGGGUGAGUAACGCGUGAGCAAUCUGCCCUUAGGUGGGGGAUAACAGCCGGAAACGGCUGCUAAUACCGCAUAACGCAGCGUGGUCGCAUGGCCAAGCUGCCAAAGAUUUAUUGCCUUUGGAUGAGCUCGCGUCUGAUUAGCUAGUUGGCGGGGCAACGGCCCACCAAGGCGACGAUCAGUAGCCGGACUGAGAGGUUGAACGGCCACAUUGGGACUGAGACACGGCCCAG
rnacentral:rRNA from 1 species